CGGAGUACGACUUAGCCAUGCGAGUCACAGGGACUUCGGUCACUGGCGUACGGCUCAGUAACACGUGGGCAACCUACCCUCAGGACAGGCAUAACCCCGGGAAACUGGGGCUAAUUCCUGAUAGGCACCCUCAACUGGAAUGUGUCGGUGUCGAAAGCUCCGGCGCCUGAGGAUGGGCCUGCGGCCGAUUAGGUUGUUGNCGGGGUAACAGCCCACCAAGCCGACGAUCGGUACGGGCAGUGAGAGCUGUAGCCCGGAGAUGGGGACUGAGACAAGGCCCCAGGCCCUACGGGGCGCAGCAGGCGCGAAACCUUCACAAUGCUCGAAAGAGUGAUGAGGGUACUCCGAGUGCCAGUGCUUAGCACUGGCUUUUCUGCAGCGUAAAUAGUUGCAGGAAUAAGGGCUGGGCAAGACCGGUGCCAGCCGCCGCGGUAACACCGGCAGCCCUAGUGGUGACCGCUUUUAUUGGGCCUAAAGCGUUCGUAGCCGGGCCGGUAAGUCCUUGGGUAAAUCCUGCGUCUCAAGCGCGGGAAUUCUAAGGAAACUACCGGCCUUGAGGCCGGGAUAGGCGAGAGUACUCCCGGGUAGGGUAAAAUC
rnacentral:rRNA from 1 species